rnacentral:rRNA from 1 species
UACGGAGGGUGCAAGCGUUAUCCGGAUUCACUGGGUUUAAAGGGUGCGUAGGUGGGCAGGUAAGUCAGUGGUGAAAUCUCCGGGCUUAACCCGGAAACUGCCGUUGAUACUAUUUGUCUUGAAUAUUGUGGAGGUAAGCGGAAUAUGUCAUGUAGCGGUGAAAUGCUUAGAUAUGACAUAGAACACCAAUUGCGAAGGCAGCUUACUACACAACGAUUGACGCUGAGGCACGAAAGCCAGGGGAGCGAACGGG